UACAGAGGUCCCAAGCGUUGUUCGGAUUCACUGGGCGUAAAGGGUGCGUAGGCGGUCGGGUAAGUCUGAUGUGAAAUCUCACAGCUUAACUGUGAAACUGCAUUGGAUACUAUUCGGCUUGAGAGUUGGAGGGGGGACUGGAAUUCUUGGUGUAGCGGUGAAAUGCGCAGAUAUCAGGAGGAACACCGAGCGCGAAGGCAGGUCUCUGGGCCGAUACUGACGCUGAGGAGCGAAAGUGUGGGGAGCGAACAGG
rnacentral:rRNA from 1 species